rnacentral:lncRNA from 9 species
GCCUUGGAGUCAGGAUGAAUUUGUCAGUUGGUGAGAAGCUGCCUGUUUGUUCUUUGGUUGUAUGACCUCAUCUAUUUUCUCAGCCCCAUACUUUCGUCUUGCAGUGUUAUCCUGAAGCGAUGAAACUGAGUCUAAGUUGGCUGGCUCUAUAUGGCAUGUGCUUCCACUCUUCCCUUCAGUGCACCGAUCGGAUGAGCUGAUUGAUUGAUUGUUCCAUUCAUCAGUCAUUUUUAGGUAUCUUUUUAAAUUCUUCAGCAUGGCACCUAUAACUUUAAGUAGAAAGAACUAUGUGGAUAGCUGAAUUCCCUAAAAUUGGAAGAAUGAAGAGGAGGUGUGAAAGGAGAGAAAGAGCCCUUUCUUGUGGUAUCUGGCCCUUCUGUGUACCAGGUGAAAAGAGGGUUGACAAUGUGGUAAAACGAAAUUGCCAUCUUUUGUGGUCAGCCAGUGCACUGAGCGUUCGGCCCCUUGAGGUAUUUUUGUGCAGCUUUUCCGAGAAGCAUUGCCUUGUCUCCACUGAACUGAUAACGAUGAAACUUCAAUCCCUAUUGCCUUCAAUCAUUUUCUUAUUGUGCCAGCUCAAUGACUUUUCUUCAAUUCCAGUUUCCUGGCACCAGAUCUGGCAGAGGCUGAAGAAGAAAAUGCCUUUGGUGUGGGUUCCACUGAACUUCGCUUUUAAUUCCCUGUUAAUGUACAAUCUGAAGUCUUAUUCAGAGAAAAAUUGUGUUCAUGUUUGUGGCAAAAAGGAAUGCAGAAAAGUGACAGAUGUAAGAUGAGAGAAGAGGCAGCCUUUAAUCAUUUUGUUGUCAAAGCAGCUUUGGAUUGCCCUUUGAAGAAAGUGUUUUCCUCGCUGCUUCUGCAAAACUAGAGACUCAUUCUCUUGCCCUUUGCAAAUUCCUUACCCAGGCGGUUACACUCCACACUGGAUGCAAAACUUCUAAACCCUAGAUUUAAACCCUAUGGAACACUCCGCUUUAUACAUUUACAGUGCAGAAGAAUUGGAUCUCUUUGCCCUGGUGACUCAGUUUACAUAUAAUCCUCAUAGAAAGAAAGGCGACUUUUGGUAAAACCCAGUGACCAAGGAACUUGUUUUCAUUUGCGUUUGGGCCAGCCAUAUUUCACAAGAGAGGCUAAGUGUUAAAGCAUAUGAUGUUUACAAAGUAAAAGCCUAUUUUCCCUUAAUCCCUGCAUGACCAUAAUUAGGCAGGAGAGUUAAUUUUAUGUAAAUCAUGCAUUACUGUAAUUGGGCGCAAGUGAACAUUCAUGUACAUCCUGUUUAAAAGAGAAAUAUAAUGUUAUUAUGUGGAUGCUGGUGCAGUGAAGUCUCAACCCUCUAGGGGGACGUCUGCGACGUCACCGGCUGUUUACAAGACUUCGGUCUGUGAGCUUAAUUACAGGUUGCCCAGAUCGUGCUGUCCUGUGAGGAGCUGAGCCACAUGCCUUCAGAAAGGCUGAGAGGUGGAACACUGGGGCUUCCCUUCCUGUUUUUUUCCCCUAACCUCUGCUUAUGGAGAGGUCAUUUUUCUCUUUCUAUUCAUCUUUUCAAACCUAAACAAUGCUUUCCAAUGGUUUGCUCCGCUUGGCAGUUCUGACCCAUAUUUCCCCAGGCAGACCACAGAUGGAUUUGUCUUCAGUAAGCAGGGGCUGGGCUGCUUCCUUUUUUAGCCUGCCUUUUCUAAGGCUGCUCAGGGCUGCUUUAAGACCCCAGGAUUUUGUUUUGCAAGUGUAACCGGAUCAGAUAGCAUCCAGAAGCCUGCCUGUGUGAUGGCCACAGUGCCUCCACAGCCUUUGGGAGGGCUGGCCUCUGGGUGGAGAGGAUGAGCUGUUUCUUUGUUCUCUGUCUAGAGAGCAGAUCCAGCACUUUGGGACAGGAUUGUCCUGCAGAAUAUAAAGAAUCUAACCUGCACAUCUUGAGGUCAAGAAUUGUGAGGAAGAAAAUAUGCGCAUGACAGAACUUUUAUUUUAAAUGCAUCUUCCUCCUCACCUGGAGGUCUGAACAAUCAUUUUUGGAGUAGUGCCUUGGCCUCAUUCUGCCCAUCUUGCCAAGCCAGCUCCUCACCUUCCAACCCUGUACAUGCAGCAGGUUGGUCUUCAGAGACUUCAGGGCAGGAGGCCUUCUUGGGGUACCACCUUGCUGCCCCCUAUGUACUUGCUGCCAUUCCCUAUGCCUGUAGUCCUGCUUAAAUGCUUUAGACGUGCUUCUUAUGGAAGGGCUAUUUGAAUGAACCUUCUCUUAAAUUCCUCUUCCCAUAACUGCCCCUCUCCUCCAUCCCUCUCCCCGCUCCUCACCCCUCACACACAUGUGCCUUUGAUUCCCUGCUCAGCUUUCUUGCUCCUUUUCUUCUCUCCCCAUCCCCCAUACUAUUUCUCCCACUCUGAGGGUGUCAUACUUUGAAAUGCCAUUGGUCCAGAGGUUGUGGAUGUGAACAGAUGAAGUAACUUCCGGCUAGGAAUUUUUGUUGUUGUUGUUACUAGUAAUUAGUUAGGAGGUAAGUGUGUUCCCUAGUGGCCACAGCAUUUUCUAUUCAUCUUUGUUCUUGUAAAGAGACCCCUUAAAGCCUUUUAGAAGAAUAGACCGUUUUUGCUGGACUAGUUCAUCCAGUUAAAUUCAGCCCUCAACAUACAUUCACAAUAAUCAUCUGAAAGGAUCUACACAAACACCAUGGUGUUUAUCUUUUGCUGGAGGGAUUAAUUUAUGCUUUUGGCUUAUCUACAUUUUCUAAUUCUGCUAGUUAAACAAGCGUUAUUGAUGUAAUGUACUUAUUAAUAAUUUGAUGUACUGUGGUGCCAGUUUGGGACAUUACUCUCUCUUUUCAUAGCCUAGCUCAUAAAAAGGCUUUGUUUUCAAAGCCAUGGAUUGUGGCAGAGAAGGGCUUUAACAGAGAAUGGAAGCUUCAUGAGGUUAAGGAAAAAGUGGUUAGGGUCUUGAGAAGUGGGGGGAAGCCCAGCAAAGGGAGACACCCACAGGGAGGGAGGGCACAGAGCCCUCUCCAGAUGUGCCCUGCAGAAUGGGUUGACCAUGUGGGUCCAGGGUGCUGCCUCUCAGGGUCACUAAGGCCAAGCCUCGUGUGCAGGGAGUGCCUCUGUUGGAGCAGCAUGACUGGCGGAUUUAGCCGUGGCCAUGGGACCACUGGGAAUGGAGGAUCAGGACUUCUCCUGGCCUCUUUCUCUUCUCUUCCAUAGUACCUGCUUUUGGACUUCUCGUUUCC